rnacentral:rRNA from 1 species
UACGAAGGGGGCUAGCGUUGCUCGGAAUUACUGGGCGUAAAGGGCGCGUAGGCGGAUAGUUUAGUCAGAGGUGAAAGCCCAGGGCUCAACCUUGGAACUGCCUUUGAUACUGGCUAUCUUGAGUUCGGGAGAGGUGAGUGGAAUGCCGAGUGUAGAGGUGAAAUUCGUAGAUAUUCGGCGGAACACCGGUGGCGAAGGCGACUCACUGGCCCGAUACUGACGCUGAGGCGCGAAAGCGUGGGGAGCAAACAGGGAUUAA